AGAGAGAGACAUGCGCGCAUAUCAAUAAGCGGAGGAAAAGAAACUAACUAGGAUUCCCUCAGUAACGGCGAGUGAAGCGGGAAGAGCUCAAGUUUGAAAUCUUCAAGGUUCUACCUUGACGAAUUGUAGUUUAAAGAAGUGUUUUCUGUUGGAGUUUUGGUAAAAGUUCUUUGGAAUAGGACAUCAUAGAGGGUGAGAAUCCCGUAUUUGACCAUUAUUUCCAGCUUUGUGAUACACUUUCAAAGAGUCGGAUUGUUUGGGAAUGCAGUCCAAAAUGGGUGGUAAAUUUCAUCUAAAGCUAAAUAUUGGCGAGAGACCGAUAGCGAACAAGUACCGUGAGGGAAAGAUGAAAAGAAGCUUUGAAAAGAGAGUUAAACAGUACGUGAAAUUGUCAAAAGGGAAGCGUUUGACACCAGUGUUGUUUUCUCGAAAAUCAAUUAAAAAAGGCAGGAUUUUGUGUUGUAUUGACUUUAUCAGCUUUCUGCACUCUUUUCUUGUCUUUUUUAAUGCACUUUUCGUUUAACAAGUCAACAUCAAUUUCUUUUGUUGUAAAAGGGUCAUUGGAAGGUGGCUUUCUUUUCGGAGAAAGUGUUUAUAGCCUUUGGCCUCUGCAAUCGGAGAGAUUGAGGUCUGCAGCGUAGAUCCUUCGGGGUUAGAUACAUUUGUGCUAAGUUAUAGCCUUUCAUAGACAACUUGUUGACUAUGAUCAGUCAUGUAGCUUACUCGCUUAUGCUAUUUUACCUACGCUUAGGAUGUUGAUGUGAUACUGCGAGCA
rnacentral:rRNA from 1 species